CCUACGGGACGCAGCAGUGGGGAAUAUUGCACAAUGGGGGAAACCCUGAUGCAGCGACGCCGCGUGAGUGAAGAAGUAUUUCGGUACGUAAAGCUCUAUCAGCAGGGAAGAAAAAAAGUCCUUUGGACUUUGGACGGUACCUGACUAAGAAGCCCCGGCUAACUACGUGCCAGCAGCCGCGGUAAUACGUAGGGGGCAAGCGUUAUCCGGAUUUACUGGGUGUAAAGGGGGCGCAGACGGCGAUGCAAGCCAGGAGUGAAAGCCCGAGGCCCAACCCCAGGACUGCUCUUGGAACUGAGUGGCUG
rnacentral:rRNA from 1 species